rnacentral:rRNA from 1 species
GAUUCGCUCCUUAGGACCGUUAUAGUUACGGCCGCCGUUUACUGGGGCUUCAAUUCGCAGCUUCGCUUGCGCUAACCACUCCUCUUAACCUUCCAGCACCGGGCAGGCGUCAGCCCCUAUACGUCACCUUACGGUUUUGCAGAGACCUGUGUUUUUGCUAAACAGUCGCCUGGGCCUAUUCACUGCGGCUCUCAUGCGCUUGCACGCUCAAGAGCACCCCUUCUCCCGAAGUUACGGGGUCAUUUUGCCGAGUUCCUUAACGAGAGUUCUCUCGCACACCUUAGGAUUCUCUCCUCGACUACCUGUGUCGGUUUGCGGUACGGGCACCUCUCACCUCGAUAGAGGCUUUUCUUGGCAGUGUGAAAUCAGGAACUUCGUCCUUAAAGGACUCGCCAUCACAGCUCAACGUUACAGUGUGCGGAUUUGCCUACACACACGCCUUACUGCUUGGACGCGCACAACCAACGGCGCGCUUACCCUAUCCUACUGCGUCCCCCCAUUUCUCAAACGGUGAGGAGGUGGUACAGGAAUAUCAACCUGUUGUCCAUCGCCUACGCCUAUCGGCCUCGGCUUAGGUCCCGACUAACCCUGAGCGGACGAGCCUUCCUCAGGAAACCUUAGUCAUACGGUGGACGGGAUUCUCACCCGUCUUUCGCUACUCAUACCGGCAUUCUCACUUCUAAGCGCUCCACCAGUCCUUCCGGUCUGACUUCAACGCACUUAGAAACGCUCACCUACCACUGACAUCAUAGAUGUCAAUCCACAGCUUCGGUGAAUCGUUUAGCCCCGAUACAUUUUCGGCGCAGCGUCACUCGACCAGUGAGCUAUUACGCACUCUUUAAAUGAUGGCUGCUUCUGGGCG